UUUCUCAGUAGGAGCAGGCUUUGU
rnacentral:piRNA from 1 species